UACGUAGGGGGCAAGCGUUGUCCGGAAUCAUUGGGCGUAAAGAGCGUGUAGGCGGUCCGGUCAGUCGGUUGUGAAAGUCAAGGGCUCAACCCUUGAAUGCCGGCCGAUACUGCCGGGCUAGAGUCCGGAAGAGGCGAGUGGAAUUCCUGGUGUAGCGGUGAAAUGCGCAGAUAUCAGGAGGAACACCGAUGGCGAAGGCAGCUCGCUGGGACGGUACUGACGCUGAGGCGCGAAAGCGUGGGGAGCAAACAGG
rnacentral:rRNA from 1 species